GUGUCAGCCGCCGCGGUAAUACGUAGGGGGCGAGCGUUGUCCGGAAUCAUUGGGCGUAAAGCGCGUGUAGGCGGCUCGAUAAGUCUGGUGUGAAAUCUUGGGGCUCAACCCCAAGCCUGCACUGGAUACUGUCGAGCUUGAGUCCGGGAGGGGAGAGCGGAAUUCCUAGUGUAGCGGUGAAAUGCGCAGAUAUUAGGAAGAACACCGGUGGCGAAGGCGGCUCUCUGGAACGGUACUGACGCUGAGACGCGAAAGCGUGGGGAGCGAACAGGAUUAGAAACCCUCGUAGUCC
rnacentral:rRNA from 1 species